rnacentral:rRNA from 1 species
UGGGGAAUAUUGCACAAUGGGCGCAAGCCUGAUGCAGCAACGCCGCGUGAGGGAUGACGGCCUUCGGGUUGUAAACCUCUUUUAGCAGGGAAGAAGCGAAAGUGACGGUACCUGCAGAAAAAGCACCGGCUAACUACGUGCCAGCAGCCGCGGUAAUACGUAGGGUGCAAGCGUUGUCCGGAAUUAUUGGGCGUAAAAGAGCUCGUAGGCGGUCUGUCGCGUCUGCUGUGAAAUCCCCGAGGCUCAACCUCGGGCCUGCAGUGGGUACGGGCAGACUAGAGUGCGGUAGGGGAGAAUGGAACUCCUGGUGUAGCGGUGGAAUGCGCAGAUAUCAGGAAGAACACCGAUGGCGAAGGCAGUUCUCUGGGCCGUAACUGACGCUGAGGAGCGAAAAGCGUGGGGAGCGAACAGGAUUAGAUACCCUGGUAGUCCACGCCGUAAACGUUGGGCGCUAGAUGUGGGGACCAUUCCACGGUUUCCGUGUCGCAGCUAACGCAUUAAGCGCCCCGCCUGGGGAGUACGGCCGCAAGGCUAAAACUCAAAAGGAAUUGAC